rnacentral:rRNA from 1 species
UACGUAGGGCGCAAGCGUUAUCCGGAAUUAUUGGGUACGUAAAGAGCUCGUAGGCGGUUUGUCGCGUCAUGUCCGUGAAAAGUCCGGGGCUCAACUCCGGAUCUGCGGUGGGUACGGGCAGACUAGAGUGAUGUAGGGGAGACUGGAAUUCCUGGUGUAGCGGUGAAAUGCGCAGAUAUCAGGAGGAACACCGAUGGCGAAGGCAGGUCUCUGGGCAACAACUGACGCUGGAGGAGCGAAAGCGUGGGGAGCGAACAGG